UGGCCUACGGGGGGCAGCAGUAGGGAAUCUUCCACAAUGGACGAAAGUCUGAUGGAGCAACGCCGCGUGAGUGAAGAAGGGUUUCGGCUCGUAAAGCUCUGUUGGUAGUGAAGAAAGAUAGAGGUAGUAACUGGCCUUUAUUUGACGGUAAUUACUUAGAAAGUCACGGCUAACUACGUGCCAGCAGCCGCGGUCAUACGUAGGAUCCGAGCAUUAUCCGGAGUGACUGGGUGUAAAGAGUUGCGUAGGUGGCAGAAUAAGU
rnacentral:rRNA from 1 species